UGGGGUCAAAAGAAGGUUUGGUAGAAAAUUUCAAAGGAGGACAGGGACAGAAUUCAAGAAUACUACUUAAGUACUCAACCUAGUGAUAACUUUUGGGCAGGACUCGAUAAUGAGAAAGUGACAAACCAUGAUAUCAAAGAUAUUGUAUGGGACCUGGAACUGUCACAAAACGUUAUUGAGGCCUAUAUCCAAAUAGAGGAGGAGAAAAUAGGGCCCAUGCAGACAGAUAGUCCACAGUACAUGUCUACAUGGACUUGGCAGGCUUACAUGCAAACCUUUUUAGAACCAAAUUGGCAUAGGGCCCUGUAUGAACACUUACUUGAAAAACUCGGGAAAUGCAAUGUUCUCUUCUUCCCGAUCAUUUCAAGUUAUGAGUUUCACUUUACACUUCUCACAUUUCACAAAAUUGAACGAAACUGGAGGCACUACAAUCCACUUAGAUCGUUGAGACCUAGAAAAGAAGAAAAGUGUAUUGACAUUGCUCAAAAUUUUGUUAAUAUUGUGGAAG